rnacentral:misc_RNA from 1 species
UAUGGUUGGAGAGAUGGCUCAGCAGG